AUGGGGUAUGUGUAUUUAGUGUUUGUGUUUAUGUCUGAGUGUGUGUGUGCAUGUGUAAUUUUUUUUUUUUCUUGUGUGUUCUUUCGCAGGCCUUUCGGUAGUGUUCAACACAUAAAUCAGUAUUUAAGGAAAGCAUACAUUUUAGAGGCCAGUAGUAUGGAUCCAGCCAGUGGAUCAUUAUCCAACUACACAGCCUUAAGGCCACCAUCUUUUUUAUUCUUUAAGAAUAGCAAGGACAAAAAAAAAGAAAAGAAAAUUAAAACGCUUCUUUUUUUUCUAGAAAAACUUAAUGUGCCAGUGUCUAUACUCAUUACUCUUCAUGCCCAAAGACUAUUUAUCAUAUUAUUAGCACACUACUACAAUUUUCUUUUUUUUUCUUUUUUUUUUUGUAUUUUGAUUGUUUUUUUUUGUUUGUUUGUUUUGUUUUUGAUUUUUUUUUUUCGUUUGGUAUUAAUGAGAAGAAAACCGAGCAUUUGCUUCAAUGAAUUAACUGCAUCGGGAUAGUGUUGGGAUGGGGGAAGGGAUGGAAGUGGUGUAAGCAAUACAUCAUUAGGAUCUGACCAGGGAUAAGCUCACAAUGGUUUAAAUAUAAAUAAAGAAGAAGAAAAAAACGCUUGCAUAAACAGCACAAAGUAAAUACAAUAGCAAGUGAUAAUAAAAAGCCAUUUAAUCAUCUAAUCAAAAAAAGAACAAAGCUACUCAAACACAAGUGAACUAUAGAACCAAAUAUUUGAUUAAAAAAUGAUUAUCUCUAAAAACUAGAACAUCUCUGGUAACAGUAGUGCACUUAUUGGUUUAAAUUAAAUUUACUUAAGUUAAAACAAUUACGAAUGUUUAUUAAGACACAGGAUUUUGAAGUAAAUGUAGCAAAGUAGCACUGGUUUUUCAAACCUACAACUUAUAGCGACCAAAUUCCAAAAUGGAAAAAGUCUAAAUAAAUUGUGAUAGAUACAUUUUGUUAUCAUUUUAACUAUACUCCAAAAGUAUAUCUACUCAGAUAAGUGAGCAAAAUUGCCAGAUUGCAGUUGAACGGCAGAUAAGUCUUUUUAUAUCCAUAAAAUACGUGUAUAAUGAAACCAAAUAUGAACACAGAGCUUCCGAGUGACGUAACACCAAAAAUACAACUUUCUCAACUCACUUCCGAAGUACACACACAAUGUCUAGAUAUCGGUAAAAUUGGGAAUGUUUCUUAUUGUUUGGAGAGUUUUCUCCCUGUGGUAUAUUAAAGAAGAAUGACCGUGUUGAAUUUAUUGUGGUUCAGAAGAUGUUUUGAGUCUUUUUAUAUCGAUAAAUACGUUGUUUAUAACAAAGCCAAAUAUGAACACAGAGCUUCUGAGUGACGUAACACCAAAAACACAACCUUUUUCAACUCACUUCCGAAAUACACACACGAUGUCUAGAUAAUCGGUAAAAACUGGGAAUGUUUCUUAGUUGUUUGGGAGAGUUUUCUCCCUGUGGUAUAUUAAAGAAGAAUGACCGUGUUGAUUUUAUUGUGGUUCAGUAGAUGUUUUUCUGUUGCCUUGUUCUGUAUGUCCCAAUCAGGCAAAAACCAGGACGGCUGUAACGGCAUUCAAAGUUUUUGCUCGAAUACUGUUAUUUAUAAACUUUUAUUUUUUUUUUUUUGUAAACUUGACCCGAACUAUUGGGGAAAAAAGAGUGUGGUGGGAGAAAAGGAAAAUGUCAUAAUCAUAAUAAUCAUUCAUUCAUCAAGCCACUCAAAAAUUCCCAUUUUAGUACAGUUAGUAAAACUGGCUUGUACCUUGACAACAUCAACAUCAUAAUCCCUCAAUGCCAUAAUAAUAAAUAAAAACCCAGUGUCAAAUUUAAUAACUCUCCUAUUCUUAUCGCACAUAAAAAGGCAAACACGUGACCAUCAUUUUAGAAUGAAUCUAGAGCCAAAUCUCUUUUUCUUUUUUUUUCUUUUAUGAUUCUAUACCACAGUAAGCUUGGACGCUUAUAGUGUCCAAUGCCGGUCUACAUGGAAAAGAUCUACAAGUUAAAAAAAUUCACUGCAAUAUUUAUUUUUGUGCACACGCACGCUCACAUGCACAAAUACACAUACGUACAAAAUACCUCUACCAUAUAUAAGUGUGUAUAAGUAGUUUGUGCGUGUGGGUGCAUGCAUGGGUAUGUGUAUUUGUGUUUGUGUUUAUGUCUGAGUGUGUGUGUGCAUGUGAAUUUUUUUUUUUUCUUGUGUGUUCUUUCGCAGGCCUUUCGGUAGUGUUCAACACAUAAAUCAGUAUUUAAGGAAAGCAUACAUUUAGAGGCCAGUAGUAUGGAUCCAGCCAGUGGAUCAUUAUCCAACUACACAGCCUUAAGGCCACCAUCUUUUUUUAUUCUUUAAGAAUAGCAAGGACAAAAAAAAGAAAAGAAAUUAAACGCUUCUUUUUUUUCUAGAAAACUUAAUGUGCCAGUGUCUAUACUCAUUACUCUUCAUGCCCCAAUAUAAGAAAAAAAAUCUAGU
rnacentral:lncRNA from 1 species